rnacentral:rRNA from 1 species
UGGGGAAUUUUGCACAAUGGGGGAAACCCUGAUGCAGCGACGCCGCGUGAUUUAGAAGGCCUUCGGGUUGUAAAAAUCUUUUCUAUGGGAAGAAAAUGACAGUACCAUAGGAAUAAGGACUGGCUAAUUACGUGCCAGCAGCCGCGGUAAUACGUAAGGUCCGAGCGUUGUCCGGAAUCAUUGGGCGUAAAGGGUACGUAGGCGGGUAAGCAAGUUAGAAGUGAAAUCCUGUAGCUCAACUACAGUAAGCUUUUAAAACUGCUCAUCUUGAGAUAUGGAAGGGAAAGUGGAAUUCCUAGUGUAGCGGUGAAAUGCGCAGAUAUUAGGAGGAAUACCGGUGGCGAAGGCGACUUUCUAGCCAUAAUCUGACGCUGAGGUACGAAAGCGUGGGUAGCAAACAGG